UACGUAGGGGGCUAGCGUUGUCCGGAAUCAUUGGGCGUAAAGCGCACGUAGGCGGAUUCUUAAGUCAGGGGUGAAAUCCUGGAGCUCAACUCCAGAACUGCCUUUGAUACUGGGAGUCUCGAGUCCGGGAGAGGUGAGUGGAACUGCGAGUGUAGAGGUGAAAUUCGUAGAUAUUCGCAAGAACACCAGUGGCGAAGGCGGCUCACUGGCCCGGUACUGACGCUGAGGUGCGAAAGCGUGGGGAGCAAACAGG
rnacentral:rRNA from 1 species